GCCUCGCAGACAGAAACACGCGCUCAAUAAAUGCCUGUCUGUGUCAAACACGGCCACGGUCGCUUACCCGAAGAGGUGAAAGUGUAUUUGGAGACCUAACAGACUCAUUGGGAUGCUUCAAUCUUGUUUACAACAAUAAAUGGAAGGAUUCCCUUGGACGCAAUAUUUGUUUGACAAGUGGAUGCGUAGCAAAAUUGACUCUGAAUUGAGGCCAAUUUAGAGGAAUGAUUUAUUUUUAUUCUUAAAUUGAUAAGAUAUCGAAAAAAAAUUUUUGGGGUUACGUGGCGAUCGGGAAUUUCAUAACUCGUAAGGGUGAAUUAAUUGAUUUUAUUCUCGGAUGUCAAAAGUGUCACUGUUUGUAAAAGAAUAUUGUUUUUUCAAAAAUCAUGUUCAGUAAUCAAUGUCGAAUCGUGUGUUGGAAAGUACUAGCAAGCCAACCAUAAGCACUAGAAUUUCAAAGAAAUCGAAGUUCAUGAAAAUUCCAUACAUGAAAUCAAAGCAAAAAUGCUUGUGCAAUAUCUUGUGCAGAUAACAAGUCAAGUUUAAACAAAGUCUGCAUUCGACAAAAAGAUCAACAUUUUCGUGCCAAGUAGAAGUGCCAAGGCCACAGAUAAGCCUUUGUCAGUGAUUUGCCUUAAUUAAUGUAAUAUUACUUCGACAAACGGAAUCGAAAUCAGUGUCCAUACCUGUCUUGAAUUGCUCUCAAGUUGCUUUCGAAAAGGGUUUGAAUUAGGCGGCUUUGCACAUAAAGCCGUGGUCAACCAGUCGCCUUGAAACAUUCUACGGUAUAGAAACGUAAGACAAAGAUUAGGCGCUUAGCUUUAGGGCAAGCUGCAAUCAAAAAAGAUAACAAUAGUGUCUUUGUAUUAUGAUCAGAAUUAAGUACACGCCUUAAAAAAGAUAAGAUUGUACUGACCAUGAAGGGGCAAGAAAAUUGCUGAUGACUAGAGUCGGGAUUAAUAAGUGUCAUUGAUAGGCUACUCAAACAUCUGCACUGAUAGGAGAGCUCUAGAGCGUGUGGAUGCUUUGUUGAUCCGCGUUCAAUAUGUGUCCUGCUGUCCAACAUCUAUGCGGGACUCGGAUACUCCAUUCGUUCUGACGACCUGGUUCUCUUGGCUGAUUCAGGCGUGGAAUUUCAAAAUGCCGUCAAUGCACUCCACGGUUACUGCCAAGAGAACGGCCUUCAAGUCAAUACCAUCAAGACGAAGGCCAUGGUUUUCCACAAAGAUCGUCUGCCUCCGACUUCUUUCCAUAUCCACAAUAGUCCGAUUGAAAUCGUCAACAAUUUUAAUAUGUCGGUUUCACAUUCUCAACUCAACUCUCCUUCACCAACCACCUCAAAUCAUCAACAGUCAAAGCCAGAGCAGGAUCGGAUACAUUUGCAAUAGACUUCCCAUCACGAACCUUCCUCUUCCAAUAGUUAUUUAACUCUUCCGGACCUACAUCACUCCAAUUUUCCUCUACGGCCUUCACCUCUGGCUCCCAUACUCCGCCCAAUCCGCCCUCAAAUCCGGCGAUGCCAGCUUCACCAAGUUCCUCAAACGAUACCUGUGCGUGCCCCAAUAUGCCAACAAUGCAAGGACGCAUUUCCUAUGCGAAACCGAGCCCCUCACCAUCGGCCUGGUCUGGUUAGUGUCCAACAGUGUUGGGAACUAGACCUUUCCCGGAGAUGAUGUCCGGACACAAGUUGUCCUUCCCGGUCAAGGACUUGCUAACAAAUUAUUGUCCUUGGCCCGACAUCCCUUCGGAGUCGACGGGAGCUGACAAAAGAUCUGUCCAAUCUGGCCCAUCCUCUUCUCUGAAAUAACUAAGAAUUUCAUCACUUACCUUUACUUAACUCUGUUUAUACUGCCUUUUCUCGCUCUCACUUUUUCCCUGUGUAUUGAACCAAUUCUAGUCAAAUUCACUGUGAUAUCACUCUCUAGUCAACUAUUUUAUUGCUUUUCCCAUUUUUGACAUUUUUCUUUUUAUCCACCUAAAAGCGUGUAUAAUGUUUAUACACCAUCUUCGUAAUUGUUCGUAUAUGAAAGGUUCCGUGUCAAGUUUAAAUAAAGUUUCAGUUCUUAUUCA